UUGAACGCUGGCGGCAUGCUUUACACCUGCAAGUCGAACGGCAGCGCGGGCUUCGGCCUGGCGGCGAGUGGCGAACGGGUGAGUAAUGCAUCGGAACGUGCCCAGUAGUGGGGGAUAGCCCGGCGAAAGCCGGAUUAAUACCGCAUACGACCUGAGGGUGAAAGCGGGGGACCGAAAGGCCUCGCGCUAUUGGAGCGGCCGAUGUCGGAUUAGCUAGUUGGUGGGGUAAAGGCUUACCAAGGCGACGAUCCGUAGCUGGUCUGAGAGGACGACCAGCCACACUGGGACUGAGACACGGCCCAGACUCCUACGGGAGGCAGCAGUGGGGAAUUUUGGACAAUGGGGGCAACCCUGAUCCAGCCAUGCCGCGUGCGGGAAGAAGGCCUUCGGGUUGUAAACCGCUUCUGUUCGGGAAGAAAUCCUCAGGGCUAAUACCCCGGGGGGAUGACGGUACCGGAAGAAUAAGCACCGGCUAACUACGUG
rnacentral:rRNA from 1 species